GGACUCCUCAGUGCACCUUCUCACAAUGAGGUUCCCUGCUCAGCUUCUGGGGCUGCUAAUGCUCUGGGUCCCUGGAUCCAGUGGGGAUAUUGUGAUGACCCAGACUCCACUCUCCCUGCCUGUCACCCUUGGAGAGCCGGCCUCCAUCUCCUGCAGGUCUAGUCAAAGCCUCCUGUAUAGUGAUGGAAACACCUACUUGUAUUGGUACCUGCAGAAGCCAGGACGGUCUCCACAGCUACUGAUUUAUAGGGUUUCCAACCGUUUUGCUGGGGUCCCAGACAGGUUCAGCGGCAGUGGGUCAAGCACUGAUUUCACACUGAAAAUCAGCAGGGUGGAGGCUGAGGAUAUUGGGGUUUAUUACUGCAUGCAAGCUCUAAAACAUCCUCCCACAGUGGUACAACCCUGA